UACGUAGGGUGCAAGCGUUAAUCGGAAUUACUGGGCGUAAAGCGUGCGCAGGCGGUUUUGUAAGUCUGACGUGAAAUCCCCGGGCUCAACCUGGGAAUUGCGUUGGAGACUGCAAGGCUGGAGUCUGGCAGAGGGGGGUAGAAUUCCACGUGUAGCAGUGAAAUGCGUAGAGAUGUGGAGGAACACCGAUGGCGAAGGCAGCCCCCUGGGUCAAGACUGACGCUCAUGCACGAA
rnacentral:rRNA from 1 species